UCGAGAGUCUCUAGCUUUUGCGAAUCCGCUUCCUCAGUGCUUCCAUAAGUUUAAGUUCACGCUUAUUGAAGAACUGCAGGUGGUGGAUUUACUCUUGCAAUAA
rnacentral:pre_miRNA from 1 species